UUGGAGGGCAAGUCUGGUGCCAGCAGCCGCGGUAGUUCCAGCUCCAAUAGCGUAUAUUAAAGUUGCUGCAGUUAAAAAGCUCGUAGUUGAAUUUCGAGACCAUCAUGUCGGUCGUGCUUCGGUACGUACUGGUAUUGUUGGUUUCUCCCUUCUGACGAACCAUGAUGUCAUUUAUUUGGUGUUGUGGGAAAUCAGGACUGUUACUUUGAAAAAAUUAGAGUGUUUAAAGCAGGCUCACGCUUGAAUACAUUAGCAUGGAAUAAUGAAAUAGGACGUUUGAUUCUAUUUUGUUGGUUUCUAGGAUCGACGUAAUGAUUAAUAGGGAUAGUUGGGGGCAUUAGUAUUCAAUUGUCAGAGGUGAAAUUCUUGGAUUUAUUGAAGACUAACUACUGCGAAAGCAUUUGCCAAGGAUGUUUUCAUUAAUCAAGAACGAAAGUUAGGGGAUCGAAGACGAUCAGAUACCGUCGUAGUCUUAACCAUAAACUAUGCCGACUAGGGACCGGAUGAUGUUAAUUUUUUAAUGACUCAUUCGGCGCCUUACGGGAAACCAAAGUGUUUGGGUUC
rnacentral:rRNA from 1 species